AAAAUUUUUGCACUUUGGAUUUUGCAAAAUCCAAAAUGUUCCAAAAUCCCAAAACUGUGAGUGCCAAUAUGACACUCAAAUGAAAUGCUCACCAGGGAAUUUCAGAGUUUGGAUUUUCAGAUUAGGGAUCCUCAGCCUGUAUAAGCACUUUAUAGAAGAAAGGCCCAGGGCUCAGUGCUAUGUCUUACCAGUGUUUACAAGAG